AUGGUGAGAGCGUGGAAACAACACUAUUAUGCAAUAUCUCAAGUUUCCACUCAUCUGUUUAUGGCUUAUUUUGCUACUCUAGAAGAUAUGAUGUUUGUGUUCACCCGUCAGCCCUGGAAAGUGGUAUCGGAUAAUCUGCUGUUGGAAUGGGUUGAUCCGGAAGAUGAAAGCAAGACAAAAGAGGAUUACAAGUUUGAGCACAUCUAUGUAACUGUUAGAGCGUAUGAUAUUAUCUGCACUGUAGGUUCCCCUUCAGAAUUUCAUCCACUUCAGAAUAACAUGUUGUUUGCAAGACCAGAGUACAUAUGGGGUACAUCAAAGCUCAAGGUAAUGCGGCCAUUGGUGGAUAAAAUCAAUCUCACUCUUCCGGAUAAGUCAACCACAACGGUUUAUCUGCAUUAUGAAAAGAUUGGAAGGAUAUGUCUUUAUUGUGGAAUAAUGUUUCAUACCAGUCAGCAUUGUGGGAUAAGAAAUGAUAUAAUCAUGGAGAGAAUAAUGCGGAAGUCAGUCAAUGAAAUUCCUUUUAUGCAAUAUGGAGAGUGGUUAUUAGAUCCUAUGUGUGUGCCUCAACCAUCAGUGCAACCAAGAAGGGAUGACUCAUUAGUUCUUAGCAGGUUCCAAAGAAUGUUUGGAGAAAAGGAUGUGAAAGGGAAAGAACUUGUGGGGUACACCAAAUUUAACCCGAGUCUAACCCAGCUCAUAUGA
rnacentral:rRNA from 1 species